rnacentral:rRNA from 1 species
GACGAACGCUGGCGGCGUGCUUAACACAUGCAAGUCGAACGCAGUGGCGGACGGGAGAGUAACGCGUAAUCGAACUGCCCUUCAGAGGGGGACAACAGUUGGAACAGACUGCUAAUACCGCAUAAGGAGGGAGGGGAUUGCGUUUGAUUAGCUAGUGGGGGGGGAAACGCCCCACCAAGGCGAUGAUCAGUAGCCGACUUGAGAGUUUGAACGGCAACAGUGGGCCUGGUACACGGCCCAGACUCCUACGGGAGGCAGCAGUGGGGAAUCUUCCGCAAUGGAGGAAAGUCUGACGGAGCAACGCCGCGUGAGUGAUGACGGCCUUCGGGUCGUAAAGCUCGGUUAAUCAGGACGCGGUACCGGAAUAGAAAGCCACGGCUAACUACGUGCCAGCAGCCGCGGUAAUUC